AUAUUUUUUACAAAAUUUUUAAAUUAUUUCUAAGUAUAACUAGUCCAGACGACUUACGGGGGUUAGAAACGUAAAAAAAUUUAUGUUUUUUUGUUUGUUCACAAGGGGUUGGUUGUAAUUUCAAUAGCCUUUUAGGUUACUUUUGCAUUUGAUUCAAGUUUGGGUUUACUUUUGUGUUUGAAAUCAAGUUGUGAGUCAUAUUUGGCAAUUUUCCCUACUUGCUAUACCAUAUUGAACUCUAACAUUUACUUGUUAAUGACAAAAAAAAACUGAAAUGUCAGCAUUUAAUCAUUACUUAUCAGUACGAAACUGAAGAAAGGACAUCGACUUUCAUCAAAUACUUUCUCUAAAGAAAUCAUAUCACUUGAUCAGUUUUAUUCUUUAAUCAGCUUCUCCUUAUAUUAGUGGGUGCUUAGCCGACAACGUCUGAGUCAACGGCUGCAUGGAAUAAUAGCCAACACAUUCACAAGGCAAUCUCAAGAAAAAUUGCUCAGAAAGACAUGGGCUUGAUCACUGCUUAUUACCAACAACUUAGGGAGAAGAAGAUAUCUCGAGAGGGAUUCUCGAAGAAGCUGGGGAUGAUUGUUGGAGAUGAUCAUCUUCUGAAAACCACCAUUACAGCUCUUCAACGCUUGCCACACACUGCUAUGAAAAUGGAACCAGUCACAUGUAGCUGUUAAAGAUUGGGAUAGAAAAAUGUGUCGAUUUCUUUGUGAUGUCUGACUUUAUAAUAAGAUUAAGACAAAAGGAACUUGUUUCCGUUUAGUGUACUCUUUGUGGAACUAAUCUCCAUUUUCCUGAUAUUUUCUCAAUUUGAAUUUGUUUUCAUUGAUCAACAGCUUCUGUUCUUUGUUAUACAUCAGACCUGACUUUACUCAAA